rnacentral:rRNA from 1 species
UGGGGAAUUUUGGACAAUGGGCGCAAGCCUGAUCCAGCCAUGCCGCGUGCGGGAAGAAGGCCUUCGGGUUGUAAACCGCUUUUGUCAGGGAAGAAAUCUUCUGAGUUAAUACCUCGGGAGGAUGACGGUACCUGAAGAAUAAGCACCGGCUAACUACGUGCCAGCAGCCGCGGUAAUACGUAGGGUGCAAGCGUUAAUCGGAAUUACUGGGCGUAAAGCGUGCGCAGGCGGUUUUGUAAGACAGAGGUGAAAUCCCCGGGCUCAACCUGGGAACUGCCUUUGUGACUGCAAGGCUUGAGUGCGGCAGAGGGGGGAAUGGAAUUCCGCGUGUAGCAUGAAAUGCGUAGAUAUGCGGAGGAACACCGAUGGCGAAGGCAAUCCCCUGGGCCUGCACUGACGCUCAUGCACGAAAAGCGUGGGGAGCAAACAGGAUUAGAUACCCUGGUAGUCCACGCCCUAAAACGAUGUCAACUGGUUGUUGGGAAGGUUCCUCCUCAGUAACGUAGCUAACGCGUGAAAGUUGACCGCCUGGGGAGUACGGCCGCAAGGUUG